rnacentral:pre_miRNA from 1 species
UGGACAGAUUAUUGUAUUCGAUUGUAUUCACGACGUGAAAUAGGGGAUUACACUGUUUUAAACAGAAAGUGAAUCAAUUAACAUAAUCGACUCCU